GAUGAACGCUGGCGGCGUGCCUAAUACAUGCAAGUCGAGCGAACGGACGAGAAGCUUGCUUCUCUGAUGUUAGCGGCGGACGGGUGAGUAACACGUGGAUAACCUACCUAUAAGACUGGGAUAACUUCGGGAAACCGGAGCUAAUACCGGAUAAUAUUUUGAACCGCAUGGUUCAAAAGUAAAAGACGGUCUUGCUGUCACUUAUAGAUGGAUCCGCGCUGCAUUAGCUAGUUGGUAAGGUAACGGCUUACCAAGGCAACGAUGCAUAGCCGACCUGAGAGGGUGAUCGGCCACACUGGAACUGCGACACGGUCCAGACUCCUACGGGAGGCAGCAGUAGGGAAUCUUCCGCAAUGGGCGAAAGCCUGACGGAGCAACGCCGCGUGAGGGAUGAAGGUCUUCGGAUCGUAAAACUCUGUUAUUAGGGAAGAACAUAUGUGUAAGUAACUGUGCACAUCGUGACGGUACCUAAUCAGAAAGCCACGGCUAACUACG
rnacentral:rRNA from 1 species